rnacentral:rRNA from 1 species
AUUGAACGCUGGCGGCAGGCUUAACACAUGCAAGUCGAACGGCAGCACAGGCUUCGGCCGGGUGGCGAGUGGCGGACGGGUGAGUAACACGUAGGAAUCUGCCUGGUAAUGGGGGAUAACCCGGGGAAACUCGGGCUAAUACCGCAUACGCUCCACGGAGGAAAGCGGGGGAUCUUCGGACCUCGCGUUAUCAGAUGAGCCUGCGUCCGAUUAGCUAGUUGGCGGGGUAAAGCCCACCAAGGCGACGAUCGGUAGCUGGUCUGAGAGGACGAUCAGCCACACUGGAACUGAGACACGGUCCAGACUCCUACGGGUGGCU